UUCUUCUCCCUUAAAAAAUAAACCCUACAACUUCAACGCCACCUCUGACCCAACAUCAUCGUCCCCGAUCGAACCUCCGGUUAAACUUUUUGGCUUCAACCGAACCACCGGCGACACCUGUGUUUCGAUCAACCUCCGACAAACCCCACCACAUUCCGACCGGACUCCGGCGAUCGCUACUCGGAACUCGGUACUUGGAACUCCGCUUAUUUUCUACGAACACGCACAAACAGUUCCGACGCUAAAUCGAGGAUGAUGAUGGUUCCUCUCGUGUUCGGGUUUCGGUUUCAGGCCUCCGUGCGAGAAGGGGCAGGGGCAACAACACACACACACACACCCAGCCGCCCCCUUAAUGUUUGGACGUAGUUGAACUACUGUAUGUCAAGUAACUAGUCUUACCGAGCAAACCAAGGUUAUUGAUACGUGUGGAUGUGGAACUUGCGGUCUGGGAUGCUGGAGUGGUCAUGGGUCGAGAUACAUGGAAACUUGAAACGAGACUAGAAGAUUACAUAUACUUGGGUUUUGGUUAAACUUUGUAUUAUGCUUCCGUUGAACACAACGGGUUAUAAAUAA